GUUCUUCAGUAUAUGCCGAAGGGUAGCUUAGAGGCACUCCUGCACUCAGAAGAAAGAAUGCAAUUAGGCCUCCUCGAGAGGUUGCAUAUUAUGCUAGAUGUGUCAAUGGCAAUGGAAUACCUACACCACGAGCACCAUGAAGUGGUCCUACACUGUGACUUGAAACCUAGCAAUGUUCUGUUUGAUGAGGACAUGAUGGCACAUGUGGCAGAUUUUGGCAUUGCAAGGCUGUUGUUAGGCGAUGACAGCUCUAUAAUUUCAGCAAGCAUGCCAGGAACAAUUGGCUACAUGGCACCAGGUAAUGUAAUUUCUGUAUUCUUGUUCAAUCUAAUGGUGUUACCAUAACCAUAACAUGGUACAACCAAUCAUCAUUGAUGAAUCCAUUUUUGUGCAGAGUAUGGGAUUCUUGGAAAAGCCUCACGAAAAAGUGACAUAUUCAGCUACGGGAUCAUGCUGCUUGAAGUGUUUACUAGGAAGAGACCCACAGAUGAUAUGUUUGUGGGAGAACUGAACAUCAGGAAGUGGGUUCACCAAGGGUUUCCUGCAAAGCUUGUCCAUGUUGUAGACAGCCAGCUUCUACAGGAUAGCUCUUCUUCUACCAAUAGCAUUGAUGACUCCCUUGUGCCAGUGUUUGAGCUGGGUUUGCUCUGCUCGGCUGACUCCCCAGAGGAAAGGAUGGCAAUGAGUGAUGUGGUCGUGACACUGAAGAAGAUUAGGAAAGACUAUGUCAAAUCGACAACUAACAACAAUGGGGUGCACUACUGAGCAUUGAUCUGUUACCCUGGUCACUUUGUAGGGAAAUACAGAUGAAUGAGUUAUCCUCUGCAUCAAUAUAUACUUCAGCAUUAAGAAUAACAAAAGAAUGGCAUGCCCAGUGACCUACUUCUCUUUAAUUCUAUGUGUAUGGUUAAACAUGACUAUUUGUCUUCCCCGCAAAAAAAAAAAAAACAUGACUAUUUGUCUUCUGUUUAUUUGUCAGUCACACAAUAUCCGUAAACAUCUACCAUUGAUCUGCUGCUUGAAAAUUGUAGUAAAUGAUCCGCUGCUUAAAUCCUAGUAGCCAAUGUUGAAGACACGACAUAGUUUAUACAAAACUUCAACACCAAUUUGCAGCAGCAGUACAUUGGGGGCAAACAGAGCAGAAUAUGCAACAAAAUUUCAUGGAGUUUACAGAGACGAUUAAUUACCUUAAAAUAAUUCUUCCCAAACUGAAGCAGCUCAGAUAGUAGUAGUAGUAUCUUCUCGGCUGCGGUGCUGGCGGAUGCGGCGCCGCAGCCCAGAGGCCGUUCCGCGUCGAGGAGGUUGUGCGGCCGCAGUCCAUGGAUCUUGGCGGCCACUUGGAUCUGGCGGGAGGAGCAUUUUGUUGAAGAGGUGGAGAUGGCUCCAACGGAAGAGGCGGCCGCGAUGGUGCAGUGGAGGAGGAGAUGGGAUCGGAAGCGGAGGCCUGGGCCGCCGCCGGCGGCGAGCCGGCGAGGCGAACGGAACCCGAUCCUGACUUCUGUAGGAAACCCCUUGAUAUUUAACGAUAUUUGCAAAAGGAU
rnacentral:lncRNA from 1 species